UGGCAGAUUCCCACUUCUGUUCAGGAAGC
rnacentral:piRNA from 1 species